rnacentral:tRNA from 1 species
GCCUGAGUAGCUCAACUGGAUAGAGUACCUGGCUUCGAACCAGUUGGUUGGGGGUUCGAAUCCCUCCUCGGGCACCA